rnacentral:lncRNA from 1 species
AAAGAGCCAGAGCCAGAUGGCAACAGGAGUGAGAAAGGUAGAAGAUGAAUGAUUGAGGAUGAAAAUUCCCUCAAGAGAUUUUAUUUGACCAACAUCAAUUCAAUGAAAGCUGUGAUUAAGAGGUUUCACACGGAUGGAGCUGGAAGCCAUUAUCCUCAGCAAACUAACACAGGAACAGAAAACCAAAUAGCGCAUCUUCUCACUUACAAGUGGGAGCUGAACAACGAGAACACAUGGACACAGGGAGGGAAAAAGCACACACCGGGGACUCUCAGGGGAGGGCAGGGGAAGGAAGAGCAUCAUGAUAAACAGCUAAUGCAUGCAUGGCUUAAUACCUAGGGGAUGUGUUGAUAGGUGCAGCCAACUACCAUGGCACACGUUUACCUAUGUAACAAACCUGC